rnacentral:snoRNA from 1 species
CUCGGACCUCGACUCAAGGAUCUCUGCUUUCCAUAAUGGUGGUUUGAGCAGAGGUGCUCAUGGCAAGUGGUCUCGUCGUCCUGGGGGACUUUGUGGCUGUCACAGUGAAUCUGGAAGUUUUAUCUUC